GGAGCUUGCUCCCGGUAUGUUAGCGGCGGACGGGUGAGUAACACGUGGGUAACCUGCCUGUAUGACUGGGAUAUCUCCGGGAAACCGGAGCUAAUACCGGAUAGUUCCUUGAACCGCAUGGGUCAAGGAUGAGAGACGGUUUCGGCUGUCACUUACAGAUGGACCCGCGGCGCAUUAUCUAGUUGGUGAGGUAACGGCUCACCAAGGCGACGAUGCGUAGCCGACCUGAGAGGGUGAUCGGCCACACUGUGACUGAGACACGGCCCAGACUCCUACGGGAGGCAGCAGUAGGGAAUCUUCCGCAAUGGACGAAAGUCUGACGGAGCAACGCCGCGUGAGUGAUGAAGGUUUUCGGAUCGUAAAGCUCUGUUGUUAGGGAAGAACAAGUGCGAGAGUAACUGCUUGCACCUUGACGGUACCUAACCAGAAAGCCACGGCUAACUACGUGCCAGCAGCCGCGGUAAUACGUAGGUGGCAAGCGUUGUCCGGAAUUAUUGGGCGUAAAGGGCUCGCAGGCGGUUUCUUAAGUCUGAUGUGAAAACCCCCGGCUCAACCGGGGAGGGUCAUUGGAAACUGGGAAACUUGAGUGCAGAAGAGGAGAGUGGAAUUCCACGUGUAGCGGUGAAAUGCGUAGAGAUGUGGAGGAACACCAGUGGCGAAGGCGACUCUCUGGUCUGUAACUGACGCUGAGGAGCGAAAGCGUGGGGAGCGAACAGGAUUAGAUACCCUGGUAGUCCACGCCGUAAACGAUGAGUGCUAAUUGUUAGGGGGUUUCCGCCCCUUAUUGCUGCAGCUAACGCAUUAAGCACUCCGCCUGGGGAGUACGGUCGCAAGACUGAAACUCAUAGGAAUUGACGGGGGCCCGCACAAGCGGGUGGAGCAUGUGGUUUAUUCUAAGCACGCGAAGACCUUACAGGUCUUGACACCUCUGAGACCCUAAAAAUAGGGUUUCC
rnacentral:rRNA from 2 species